AAUAAAUUAAUUUUUCAUUUUUUAUCUUUAAUUUUUAACUUUUCGUUUUAUUUAAACUUUUUUGUGAUUGAUAUUGAUAAAUUAUGAAUAGUAAUUUACAUGUGAUUAAUUUUUUUCUAAUUUCCUAAAAAAAUUUUAAAUAAGACGGAUGGUCAAACGUUGGACACGGAAACCGGAGAAUUCGGUUUUU
rnacentral:pre_miRNA from 1 species